rnacentral:rRNA from 1 species
GACGAACGCUGGCGGCGUGCUUAACACAUGCAAGUCGAGCGGUAUGGCCCUUUCGGGGGUACACGAGCGGCGAACGGGUGAGUAACACGUGGGUGACCUGCCCUUAGCUCUGGGAUAAGCCUGGGAAACUGGGUCUAAUACCGGAUAUGACUCCAUGACGCAUGUUGUGGGGUGGAAAGCCUUGUGCGGCUAGGGAUGGGCCUGCGGCCUAUCAGCUUGUUGGUGGGGUGANGGCCUACCAAGGCGACGACGGGUAGCCGGCCUGAGAGGGCGACCGGCCACACUGGGACUGAGACACGGCCCAGACUCCUACGGGAGGCAGCAGUGGGGAAUCUUGCGCAAUGGGCGAAAGCCUGACGCAGCGACGCCGCGUGGGGAUGACGGCCU